rnacentral:tRNA from 1 species
GCUUCAGUAGCUCAGUGGUAGAGCGUAUGCCUUGUAAGCAUAAGGUCGGGAGUUCAAUCCUCCCCUGAAGCU